UGUUGCUUGCACGAGGUGAUGGAUGCUUGU
rnacentral:piRNA from 1 species